rnacentral:rRNA from 1 species
GCACCCUACGGGGGGCAGCAGUGGGGGAUAUUGCACAAUGGGGGAAACCCUGAUGCAGCGACGCCGCGUGAGCGAUGAAGUAUUUCGGUAUGUAAACCUCUUUUGCCGGGGAGCAAGGGCGGGGACGUGUCCCGGCCCGGAGAGUACCCGGAGAAAAAGCAUCGGCUAACUCCGUGCCAGCAGCCGCGGUAAUACGGAGGAUGCGAGCGUUAUCCGGAUUUAUUGGGUUUAAAGGGUGCGUAGGCGGGCUUUUAAGUCAGCGGUAAAAAUUCGGGGCUCAACCCCGUCCGGUCGUUGCAACUGGG